AUGGCGUUGUAACGGACUUCAAUGCUGUAGACUCUGAUGGCUCCGUUUGGGUUGCUCACGGCGGGCAGGUUUCUGUUUAUGAUUGGAGUUUGACACAUACCGAAACUAUUAGGACACACCUUGAUUACAUCAGCUCCAUUAGGAAGGUUGGACCCGAUUUGGCUGGUGUUGCUUCUGAAUUCGAAUCCGGGCUCCAUUUUUACAACUUGGCUAAUGGACGUAGAGUUGGCUCUGUGGAAUGGACCGACCCGUCUGACCCGAGAAUCUACAAGGCCCGAGUACACGCUGUUGUUGACUCGCCGGACUCUGUUUUUGCUGCCUUCGAGUGUCAACAUAGAGAAAAUUGUGUUCUGAGUAUUGAUAAGUCUACGAUGAAAGCGGUUUCGGAGUUGGGAAGACAAUCUGGUAAUUCGGCAAAGUCAACUGUUGUUGGAAAGUUAACAUUUUUGCCGGAGAUUAAUGCGCUAGUCGGUGUUUCAGUUACUGCCGGAGCUUUUGGGUAUGCCGGUUAUGUGCGGUUGUGGGACUCCAGGUCCGGAGACGUUGUCUGGGAGACGAAUGAGCCGGGUUCAGGUCGGAGCAGUCGGUUCGGGGACUCGUUUGCUGACGUUGACUUUGACAGGGAGGAUUUGACUAUGUUCAAGAUAUGUUCAAAAUCAGGUGAUUUGGCUGUGGCAGACCUACGUAAAUUAAGUGAAGAUCCAUGGGUUUAUCUGGAAGAGAAAAAUCCAUGCAUGAGGAAUUCAGGUGGUGGAACUAGUAGCUUGAUUCACUGUUAUAGACAGCAGGUGUUUGUGGGAAGAGAAGGAGGGCUGGAAGUAUGGUCGAGAAUGGUGGAGAAUAGAAGUGAUGUUGAGAGGGAAAGGGUGUUGCAUGAAGGAUUGUAUAGGAGGAAUUAUAUGGAUAAAGUGGAGGAUGCCGGAAGAGGGAUCAUAAAGAAGAUUGAGGGAGCUGGAGAUAGGUUGUUUGUUUCUAGAGAAGAUGCUGAGGGGAUUGAAGUGUGGCAAAGUUCUCAGUUUUCCGGUGCUGUUUUAAGUUUGUGAUCGUGUGGAGCUGUGAGCAUUGUAUGAGCUUACGUUGCCUGUUUCAUGUCCUAACAGAGAAGAGGGUUGCAGUCAAUUGACGAUUCGAGUGAAACUACGAGCCGACCUGAGCUACUUUGAGAUUGAGCAGAUUUGUUGUAGUAUAUUUUUGAGCUGUUUGCAAUGGUCAUCAAUGGGAAGUUGGUCUAUGGUCAGAGUAAAGUUAGAAUCCACCCCGAACUAGUUUGAGAUUGAGCUUAGUUGUUGUUGUAUAUAUUUUAGCUGUCCAACUACAGCUUGCAAUGGUCAUCAAUGAAAUGAAUUGUAUAUUUGGUUGGAUGUCAAGUUGAUCAAUCAAGGAACAAUGUGCAAAGAUUUGAUACGACCGUGACAAAUACCUGAAAUCAGAUUCUUGUUGAUCCAUUUUGGACAUGAUGUUGAUCAAUCAAGAACAAUGUGGACGUGUGUUAUGCCAUCAUGUGAAAUGAAUUUGGG
rnacentral:misc_RNA from 1 species